UCGGUUUCGUUAUUACAGGCAUGUAAGCAAUUUCAGUUAAUUGUAUCCCAUUAGCAGUUAAUUGAGUAGCGUGGCUGGAGAACAACGCGUGGCUGGAGGAACAAUUGAAAAAUGGAUAAGAUAAUAAAACAAAAAAAUGAUCAAAUUAUGAAGCUGCAGGCCCAGUUAUUGGAACAACACAAAAUAUUAGAUAACAACAAAGCUAAGGAUGCUCAAAUUUUUGAGUCUACAAGCUCAGCUAGGGGAAAAGAACAAAUUGGAACAAAACAGUUUCCAAACAGUGAAGGAGGUUUUUCAAAACUCAUCCCUAACUGAACGUGAGGAUGAGUUGGCAUUAGGUGAACACAGUCAGUUAUUCAGUCCACCACCUGACAGUGUGUUAAAUUUAAAUUCUGUUAGUGCUGCACUAAAAGAAUUGUUAGUAAUAAGUCCAUGCAGCGAAGGAACUGAAGAAUUGUGGGACUGUAUUUGGGCGGAAAAUGGGUGUGGUAUGGAAACACAGAAAUGGCACGAGUUCAACAUGAA